rnacentral:rRNA from 1 species
UAAGCAUAUCAAUAAGCGGAGGAAAAGAAACCAACAGGGAUUGCCCUAGUAACGGCGAGUGAAGCGGCAACAGCUCAAAUUUGAAAUCUGGCUCCCUUGGGGGUCCGAGUUGUAAUUUGCAGAGGAUGCCUCGGGUGCGGGUUCCUUCCGAGUUCCCUGGAACGGGACGCCAUAGAGGGUGAGAGCCCCGUCUGGUCGGAAACCCAGCCCGUGUGAGGCUCCCUCGACGAGUCGAGUAGUUUGGGAAUGCUGCUCUAAGGGGAGGUAUACUCCUUCCAAGGCUAAAUACCGGCUAGAGACCGAUAGCGCACAAGUAGAGUGAUCGAAAGAUGAAAAGCACUUUGAAAAGAGAGUCAAACAGCACGUGAAAUUGUUGAAAGGGAAGCGCUUCCUACCAGACUUGGGUUCGGCGGUUCACCCGGCGCCACGCGCCGGGGCACUCCGCCGGCCCAGGCCAGCAUCAGCUUUCCGUCGGGGGCAAAGACGUUGGGAAUGUAGCUCCCCUCCGGGGGAGUGUUAUAGCCCGGCGUGUCAUACCCUUCGGGAGGCUGAGGUACGCGCUCCGCAAGGAUGCUGGCGUAAUGGUAGGCAGUGACCCGUCUUGAAACACGGACCAAGGAGUCAACCUUAUGUGCGAGUGCCCGGGCGUAAAACCCCAGCGCGGAAUGAAAGUGAACGUAGGUGAGAGCUUCGGCGCAUCACCGACCGAUCCUGAUGUCCUCGGACGGAUUUGAGUGAGAGCAUAUAGGGUUGGACCCGAAAGAAGAUGAACUAUGCGUGUGUAGGGUGAAGCCAGAGGAAACUCUGGUGGAGGCUCGCAGCGGUUCUGACGUGCAAAUCGAUCGUCAAACAUGCGCAUGGGGGGCGAAAGACUAAUCGAAUCUUCUGGUAGCUGGUUUCGUGAG